UGUGUUUUGAAGGCAUAUCAACGUUCGCAACGAAAAAAUAUGUGCAAACUGUAACGAAGCAGAGAUCAGUUAGUUCCUCACUUUCCGCGCUGAAGUGGAGAUCGUUCACCAGCUUCAGUGAAAGUUAACGUGCCUGGCAUUUUCGACUCGUACAUUACACGUCACACCCUGAUAUCAUGUGUAUUCACGGGUUGUGUGUGAACGCACGCACAUAUUCCGGGUAAUCACUGGCAGUGUGAAAGUGCAAAAUCUAGCGACCCGGGUACAAAUGCCGGGACACAUUACCCGUGUUUUUGCCGGAAUCGCAGUGUGAAAGGGGCUUAAGAAGAACCGGUUAAAUCGAACGAUUCGGUCGCGAAUCGGACAUCACUAAUUCACGUGAAGGGGGCACACGGAUCGACGAUUCGUUCGCGAAUCGGACAUCACUAAUUCACGUGAAGGGGGCACACGGAUCAUGCAAAGCAUCGCACACCCCAUCAGCAGGGAGUUACGAGCCAAGUUGCAGUCUGCUGAAUUUGGGGGCUGCUUUUUGUUGGAUCUGAGGAUAUCACAAAAACGGAGCAGGAAAUCGUUUACAUUGUGUCUGUGUCCAGCAACAGAGAGUUUACCUCAGACUUUAUUGGACUGAUGGGUGCUAACCGAACUGCGCAGCCCAUAACAGACAGACUUCUGAGACUUUUCCGGGAAACAGGCUUGGAUGACUGGACAACAAAAUUGGUAGCUGUGUGCACAGACGGGGCUGCUGUCAACAUCGCCUCUCCCAGUCAAGACAUUUGAUGGGCUGGUAACCUGCCCAGGUUAUGCACGAGCAGAGGACAAGGCUCUUUAUGUGCUCUCAUCGCUUGCUGUCACACAUGAGAAGCAGCAGACUGAGGCAGACACAGUUGGGCAAGUCUGCAUAUCGUAAGAAACAGAUCACAGCAAGCAACUUUUUUAAAUGGUCUUGGCAGCAGUCAAGCAGAAGUCUUACCCUCCUUCCUUAUUUAAAACUCUGUUUGGCCAGUACAACCUCAAAGAAGGAUCUAAAGUAAGUUGAUGGUAAAAAGUGGUUAUUUUACAUCUGUGUUAAACAUCUGCAUUUGUUUCUUAAGCCCGGGACACACAUAGCUGACUCUUCAGACAAAGUUUUUGAGCUCCAGUCGACUUUAGUUUAUUGACUCUCCUUGACACGCAGGUGCAGAAUCCACAUGCUAGUUAACAGUCAUCUGUAGUCCUUUUGGUGUGUUCACGCAUACCAUUUUUUCCCCAAUGCAAGCGAUGCGAGGUGAUAAUACAGUUGGAUGAGGUGACUGGUUCCCUGUCACUAAAACAAACUCAUGAUUACUUGCAUCAAAUCCAGGGCAACCUAUACUUAAUCGGCGCUAAGAGAUGUGACCUAAUUGUGUGGAGUCCUCUUAAACUUGUCAUCAUACCAGUGCUCAAAGACCCAAAAUGGGCUGUUCACAUUGACAUUUUGGAAACAUUAUAUAAAGAUUGUUUCCUGCCAAACAUUCUGUCCCAAUUGUAAGUUUAUUUAUCUGCACUUGUAAUUACCCUGUAUUUAUGUACUAUAUACUGUAUUCUGAAUUGUAUUUUGUAUUGUGACAGUAUUGUAUAGUGUGAACACAGUAACAUUUUUGACAAAAAA
ensembl:lncRNA